UGAAUCUAUUGAGAGAGAGGCCGAAAGUUUCUUAUUGUUCUUGAAUGAAUUGGUAAAAACAAAUGAUACAUAUUCGGUUCUAUAUAUACAUCAGAGAAUGAUUAAUAACUACCCCUAACUUAGGCUAAUAAUAAUAAUAAUAAUAGUAACAGCAUAACCUAUGAUAUAUAUCUAACAUGGCCUUAUAAUAAUAAUACGAUCUAGCUUAAUAUGAAAUUCCGUCUAAUAGUUUUCAUCCCUGAAUUUUGGCCAGUUUUGCGACUUUCGUCCAAAGGUUUGUUUUUCUGCAUCUGA
rnacentral:lncRNA from 1 species